CUCAAGGAAGCGCUUCAUCCACGUGGACAGAAAGCGCGCCCUCAAAGACACGUUUUUAGUCCACGUGGACAAAGCGCUUCCUUGAGG
rfam:Gossypium raimondii chromosome 10, whole genome shotgun sequence.